AACGCUGGCGGCGUGCCUAAUACAUGCAAGUCGAGCGAACAGACGAGGAGCUUGCUCCUUUGACGUUAGCGGCGGACGGGUGAGUAACACGUAGGUAACCUACCUAUAAGACUGGGAUAACUUCGGGAAACCGGAGCUAAUACCGGAUAAUAUUUCGAACCGCAUGGUUCGAUAGUGAAAGAUGGCUUUGCUAUCACUUAUAGAUGGACCUGCGCCGUAUUAGCUAGUUGGUAAGGUAACGGCUUACCAAGGCAACGAUACGUAGCCGACCUGAGAGGGUGAUCGGCCACACUGGAACUGAGACACGGUCCAGACUCCUACGGGAGGCAGCAGUAGGGAAUCUUCCGCAAUGGGCGAAAGCCUGACGGAGCAACGCCGCGUGAGUGAUGAAGGUCUUCGGAUCGUAAAACUCUGUUAUUAGGGAAGAACAAACGUGUAAGUAACUGUGCACGUCUUGACGGUACCUAAUCAGAAAGCCACGGCUAACUACGUGCCAGCAGCCGCGGUAAUACGUAGGUGGCAAGCGUUAUCCGGAAUUAUUGGGCGUAAAGCGCGCGUAGGCGGUUUUUUAAGUCUGAUGUGAAAGCCCACGGCUCAACCGUGGAGGGUCAUUGGAAACUGGAAAACUUGAGUGCAGAAGAGGAAAGUGGAAUUCCAUGUGUAGCGGUGAAAUGCGCAGAGAUAUGGAGGAACACCAGUGGCGAAGGCGACUUUCUGGUCUGUAACUGACGCUGAUGUGCGAAAGCGUGGGGAUCAAACAGGAUUAGAUACCCUGGUAGUCCACGCCGUAAACGAUGAGUGCUAAGUGUUAGGGGGUUUCCGCCCCUUAGUGCUGCAGCUAACGCAUUAAGCACUCCGCCUGGGGAGUACGACCGCAAGGUUGAAACUCAAAGGAAUUGACGGGGACCCGCACAAGCGG
rnacentral:rRNA from 1 species